rnacentral:rRNA from 1 species
GGACUACUGGGGUAUCUAAUCCUGUUCGUGCCCUAUGCCUUCGUCCUUCGACGUCAGUUUUUACAUAAAAGACUGCCUUCGCCUUUACCAGUCCCCAAGGUAUCAAAGAAUAUAAUCUCUACACUCACGAGUACGAUCUUCUUACAUAAAACUCUAGUAAAUUAGGAUCUUUUUCUUCAAGUCAGAAUUUACCGUCUGAGUACCCUUUAAACCUAUUCAUGAUGAAUAACACUAGCCUUUUACGUAUUACCGCGGCUGCUGGCAC